GCAUAUCAAUAAGCGGAGGAAAAGAAAAUAACAAUGAUUCCCCUAGUAACGGCGAGUGAAGAGGGACAAGCUCAAAUUUAAAAUCUGUUAGGUUUUACCUAAUCGAGUUGUAAUUUGAAGGAGCGUUUUCCGCGUCUUUAUUGGCCCAAAUCCUUUGGGAUAAGGUAUCAUGGAGGGUGAGAAUCCCGUUCGGCUGAUAUCAUGACGCUUUACGAUACGUUUCCAAAGAGUCGAGUUGUUUGGGAUUGCAGCUCAAAAUGGGAGGUAAAUUUCUCCUAAGGCUAAAUAUUGGCGAGAGACCGAUAGCGAACAAGUACCGUGAGGGAAAGAUGAAAAGAACUUUGAAAAGAGAGUUAAAAAGUACGUGAAAUUGUUGAAAGGGAAACGAUUGAAGUCAGUCGUACCGACGAAAAUUCAACUCAUCGAAUGGGUAUUCGCGGGCGUAUAGAGCUUCACGGCCUCAUCGUUUACGAAUGCAUGUUUUUUGGAUGUACUUUUUCGUAUGGUAGGUCAGCGUCGGUUUCGAUUACUAUAAAAUGAUCGGAGGAAUGUAGCUUCGAUUUCGGUUGAAGUGUUAUAGCCUUUGGUAGAUGUAGUGAUUGGGACCGAGGAUUGCAACGAAUACCCUUUUGGGCUAUCCGUCUGACCUCUGAAAGUUGCUUAGGUGCCGAAAGCUUGCUUACGGUUAUUUAAGUUAGCGGUCAAAAGGUUAGAACGCGAUUAAAUUCGUUAAGGAUGUUGACGUA
rnacentral:rRNA from 1 species